UUUUAUUUGCAGCUCGGAGCCUGUGGCGGAUGGUGGGACUCUCCGGCCCUGUGCAGUAAAAGAUUGAUCUCUGGGCUGGUGAACAUAAUCUCUGUCCCAGUCAGAAAAGGAGAGAGGAAAUUAGCAGAGCGAUUGGUGGAGAAUGAUAUCUGUCAAAAGAAACACUUGGAGAGCACUGAGUUUAGUAAUAGGUGACUGCCGGAAAAAAGGGAACUUUGAAUAUUGUCAAGGCGCACGCGCCCAGCACCCUGCCUCCGGCGAUGCCGCCCCAGCCCCUCUGAUGGCCCUCCUCUCUGCUGCCACUCAUUCCAGAACAGGAGGCAUGAGCCCGGAACGCGCUUGCUUUUAGGAGACAGCCACUUUCUGUGUGGUACGCUGGAUUCAAGGAUGCCUGAUCGUACUGAGAAGCACUCCACAAUGCCAGACUCACCUGUGGAUGUGAAGACGCAAUCUAGGCUGACUCCUCCAACAAUGCCACCUCCCCCAACUACUCAAGGAGCUCCAAGAACCAGUUCAUUUACACCGACAACGUUAACUAAUGGCACGAGCCAUUCUCCUACAGCCU
rnacentral:lncRNA from 1 species